rnacentral:misc_RNA from 1 species
AAGUCGUAACAAGGUUUCCGUAGGUGAACCUGCGGAAGGAUCAUUAACACGUAUCCACGUAUCAACCAAUGCGAACUCGUUUUCAACUCUCCCUUGACCCUACACGAAUUGAUACUAGACAGUGAUCGAAGGAGGAGCCUCGAAAGGGGCUCAUCACUGACUAGCAACUGAUCUCGCGCAAGCGGAAUCGACAAUUGUAGUAGGGUUGAGACUAAUUUCUGACUUAGCAUAGCCACUCUUUGGGCCAGCUUCGUUGGAUACCCGCAAUAACUUAUUUCACCCCCUUUUUGCUAGUUGACUUUAUAUCUGUUAGUAGCUUCCAUGUGCGCAAGCAUAUGCGAUCUAUUACACGUUUAUUUAUUUGAACGUUAUGAAACAACUCUUAGCAAUGGAUAUCUUGGUUCUC